AGCUCCUUUGUAGCCUCAAGCCAGAAAAAGAAUACAAACCCCCCCUCGUCCCAGAUGCGACCGACGCCUGCCGGUACAAGUGGCAGCACUGGUGGUGGUGGUGAACUGAGUCGUGGUGGACUCGCCCGCUUCCGCUCUGCUCCCGCCAGCUGGUUAGAGGCACUUCUCGAGGACGACGAAGAAGACCCCCUAAAGCCCAACCAGAGUUUAACUCAGUUACUUGCAGCUUCCAACUCUUGCACUCCCACUCCCACUUCCAGAGAAGACUCCGCCACCUUUGAUUCUUCCUCCGCAGAUCCCGGCCUCUUUGACUCCGGUUCCUCCCCCGGCAUCUUCAGGCAGAAUAGCUCUCCAGCUGAGUUGCUUCAGAAUUCGAGUCUUGGGUCUGCAGGCUACUUCUCCAACUUUCGUAUUCCAGAAAAUUACAACUAUGUGUCGCACAAUAUCGACACUCCUCCCGGUAGUAAGCGGGCGAGGGAGGUUGAAGCCCAGCACUUGACUGCAGCAAAUUUUUCAUCUCGGCCGAAAGGGGAGCAAAGCGGUCAGGGACCUGAUGGGGUGGGUGGUCUAAGAGAUAUGGAGAUGGAAAAUCUUUUGGAGGAUUCAGUUCCUUGCCGGGUUCGGGCAAAGCGUGGUUGUGCUACACAUCCCCGUAGCAUCGCAGAGAGGGUACGAAGAACACGAAUAAGUGAUCGCAUAAGGAAGCUUCAGGAACUGGUGCCCAACAUGGAUAAGAUUUGUGCAUUAUUUAUUGUGGCUUAAGCUGGUGAUGCGUCAGUGUAAUGAAAAAGUUAAGAGGUAAAAGGCAAGAGAGAGCUUUAAAUGGUCCUUAAUGUGCAAAACCUGGCAUAUUGGUGGAUUGAAAGAAGACUUUUGUUCUUACUUUAUGGAUGGCCAAAGACUAUGGCUCUUACCUAACCCCACCCCCCAAUGUGCUAAACCUCACUGCAUUUAGUUUUUUACCCAAUGUUAGAGACAACGUCCUUCCUCCUUCCAUUCACACUCGCAAAUAAACACUGCAGAUAUGUUAGAAGAAGCGGUGGAGUAUGUUAAGUUUCUUCAAAAGCAGAUUCAGGAACUCUCCGAUCAUCAGCAGAAAUGCAAAUGCAUAGCCAAGGAUUAAGCACAAGAGUAUUAAAAUAGCUCCCAGAAUUGUGUAAUUAUAUGAUUUUUGAGGAUUCAGUCAAGGUUCGCCAUAUUGAUUUGCCAUUAA